AAUAGAUACCCGGGUAGUCCUAGCCGUAAACGAUACUCGCUAGGUGUCGGCCACGGUGCGACCGUUUGUCGGUGCCGUAGGGAAGCCGUGAAGCGAGCCACCUGGGAAGUACGGCCGCAAGGCUGAAACUUAAGGAAUUGGCGGGGGAGCACCACAACGGGUGGAGCUUGCGGUUUAAUUGGAUUCAACGCCGGAAAUCUUACCGGGACCGACAGCAAUAUGAAGGCCAGGCUGAAGACUUUGCCGGAUUAGCUGAGAGGUGGUGCAUGGCCGUCGUCAGUUCGUACUGUGAAGCAUCCUGUUAAGUCAGGCAACGAGCGAGACCCACGCCCACAGUUGCCAGCGUACUCUCCGGAGUGACGGGUACACUGUGGGGACCGCCGCUGCUAAAGCGGAGGAAGGAAUGGGCAACGGUAGGUCAGUAUGCCCCGAAUAUCCCGGGCUACACGCGAGCUACAAUGGUUGGUACAAUGGGUAUCUACCCCGAAAGGGGAUGGAAAUCUCCUAAAGCCAAUCUUAGUUCGGAUUGAGGGCUGCAACUCGCCCUCA
rnacentral:rRNA from 1 species